UACGUAGGGUGCAAGCGUUAAUCGGAAUUACUGGGCGUAAAGCGUGCGCAGGCGGUUUCGUAAGUCUGUCGUGAAAUCCCCGGGCUUAACCUGGGAAUGGCGAUGGAGACUGCGAGGCUAGAGUUUGGCAGAGGGGGGUAGAAUUCCACGUGUAGCAGUGAAAUGCGUAGAGAUGUGGAGGAACACCGAUGGCGAAGGCAGCCCCCUGGGUCAAAACUGACGCUCAUGCGCGAAAGCAUGGGGAGCGAACGGG
rnacentral:rRNA from 1 species